rnacentral:rRNA from 1 species
AUUGAACGCUGGCGGCAUGCUUUACACAUGCAAGUCGAACGGUAACAGCACUUCGGUGGCUGACGAGUGGCGAACGGGUGAGUAAUACAUCGGAACGUGCCUAGUAGUGGGGGAUAACUACUCGAAAGAGUAGCUAAUACCGCAUGAGAUCUAAGGAUGAAAGCAGGGGACCUUCGGGCCUUGCGCUACUAGAGCGGCUGAUGGCAGAUUAGGUAGUUGGUGGGAUAAAAGCUUACCAAGCCGACGAUCUGUAGCUGGUCUGAGAGGACGACCAGCCACACUGGGACUGAGACACGCCCCAGACUCCUACGGGAGGCAGCAGUGGGGAAUUUUGGACAAUGGGCGCAAGCCUGAUCCAGCAAUGCCGCGUGCAGGAUGAAGGCCUUCGGGUUGUAAACUGCUUUUGUACGGAACGAAAAGCCCUCUUCUAAUACAGGAGGGUCAUGACGGUACCGGAAGAAUAAGCACCGGCUAACUACGUG